rnacentral:rRNA from 2 species
GGGAUAACUUCGGGAAACCGAAGCUAAUACCGGAUAGGAUCUUCUCCUUCAUGGGAGAUGAUUGAAAGAUGGUUUCGGCUAUCACUUACAGAUGGGCCCGCGGUGCAUUAGCUAGUUGGUGAGGUAACGGCUCACCAAGGCAACGAUGCAUAGCCGACCUGAGAGGGUGAUCGGCCACACUGGGACUGAGACACGGCCCAGACUCCUACGGGAGGCAGCAGUAGGGAAUCUUCCGCAAUGGACGAAAGUCUGACGGAGCAACGCCGCGUGAGUGAUGAAGGCUUUCGGGUCGUAAAACUCUGUUGUUAGGGAAGAACAAGUACAAGAGUAACUGCUUGUACCUUGACGGUACCUAACCAGAAAGCCACGGCUAACUACGUGCCAGCAGCCGCGGUAAUACGUAGGUGGCAAGCGUUAUCCGGAAUUAUUGGGCGUAAAGCGCGCGCAGGCGGUUUCUUAAGUCUGAUGUGAAAGCCCACGGCUCAACCGUGGAGGGUCAUUGGAAACUGGGGAACUUGAGUGCAGAAGAGAAAAGCGGAAUUCCACGUGUAGCGGUGAAAUGCGUAGAGAUGUGGAGGAACACCAGUGGCGAAGGCGGCUUUUUGGUCUGUAACUGACGCUGAGGCGCGAAAGCGUGGGGGAGCAAACAGGAUUAGAUACCCUGGUAGUCC